UACGGGGGGGGCUAGCGUUGUUCGGAAUUACUGGGCGUAAAGCGCUCGUAGGCGGUCGCCCAUGUCAGAUGUGAAAGCCCUGGGCUUAACCUAGGAAUUGCAUUUGAAACUGCGCCGCUAGAGGCCGGAAGAGGGUAGUGGAAUUCCCAGUGUAGAGGUGAAAUUCGUAGAUAUUGGGAAGAACACCGGUGGCGAAGGCGGCUACCUGGUCCGGUUCUGACGCUGAGGUGCGAAAGCGUGGGGAGCAAACAGG
rnacentral:rRNA from 1 species